UAGGAUCGGAACGUAAAUAGA
rnacentral:piRNA from 1 species